rnacentral:rRNA from 1 species
CAGUAGCCGCGGUAAUACAGAGGGUGCGAGCGUUAAUCGGAUUUACUGGGCGUAAAGCGUGCGUAGGCGGCUUCUUAAGUCGGAUGUGAAAUCCCUGAGCUUAACUUAGGAAUUGCAUUCGAUACUGGGAAGCUAGAGUAUGGGAGAGGAUGGUAGAAUUCCAGGUGUAGCGGUGAAAUGCGUAGAUAUCUGGAGGAAUACCGAUGGCGAAGGCAGCCAUCUGGCCUAAUACUGACGCUGAGGUACGAAAGCAUGGGGAGCAAACAGGAUUAGAUACCCCCGUAGUCCCUGUCUCUUAUAC